GGACAGUGGAGGCGAAUCAGAUCCAGCCAUCCCGGGAGGAGGACGAAUGCCGUGUGGAGUGUAAAAUACUCUUGUAGAGGCCGUAACACUUGUACCAAUCUGAGGUUGACGUUACAAUAAGAAUCAGCAUCAGCUAACUCAGUGCCAGCAGCAACACUAAUAAUGGGGCUGCUAUCUUUAUCCGGAAUCAUUGGGUGGAAAGCGUGCGCUGUCGUAAGUCUGAGUCGGAGUUGAAAGCUUCCAGCUUAACUGUACAAUUGCCAUUGAUACUGCAAUGCUAGAGUGAUGUAGAAGUAGUAUGAAUACUUCAUGUGGCGGUCAAAUGCAUAGCUAUGAAUUCGAACUCCGAUGGCGGAGCCAUAUCAAUACACCGAUACUGACGGUCAAGCACGAAAGCGGGGAGAGCGAACAGGAAUAGAUACCCUGCUAGUCCUCGCCGUAAACGAUGGAUACUAGCAGUUGGAUCUAACUGAUAUACUAUGAGUGUCCAAGCGAAAGCGAUAAGUAUAC
rnacentral:rRNA from 1 species